AAAGCUUUUUCUUUUUUCUCUCCCCCUGUGUCUUUUAAAAACUGUUUUCUCUAUCCUAACAACGAAUCCACACACACACAAAAAAGCAACAAGCUGGGCGGUUUGAUAACAUCGCUUUUAUCUGCCUUCGCCUGGCUCCCUCUCUCUCUCUGAUAAUUGACAACUUUUCCCUCGGAUUUGAAUCGCCUGCCUUAAUCUUGAAGCAGUUAGGGUGUCAAUUGUUCUCCUGGAAGCCCGGCACCCGACGGCGGCGGCUAGAUUCAUCGAAAUUAAAAAUGUAUAGGACUCCAGCAACUCUUUCCCUGGCGGUGGCAGUGACAUUUGGUGAUUUUCCCUCCUUCACUUACGCCUAGAAACACACCUUCUGCUUGCUAUUUUGUGUGGUAAAUGAAGACUUCUGAGCCCCAGUGAGAUGAAGACAGGAGUUGUGGUAAGAGUACAUGGGGUGGUCAAUAAACUAGUCUUUAGAAGUUUUAAUUUUUUUGUAUGAUGCUGUGUUUGAGAAAUUUGGGAUGUGGGUAACUCAUUUUGGAAUAAUGUAUAUUAGAAAUGAUUAAAAUCUGGCUUGGGCGUGCACGAAGGGCUAGGAGUCUGAUAUGUAGGAAAAAGACCUCUGUGCACCAUUUAAUUUCCAAGACGCUGUGUUCAAGUGCAGAGGAAGAGCAACAUGGACAGCUCAGUGCCUCCUAGCCAGAAAGAAGCCCCGGGGGUGGGGGCUGAGCUGGACCUUGAGGGAGUGGAUGGAUGUAACUGGCUGGAGGGAAAUGAGAAGGGCUUUCUUUAGAGGCUCAACUGACAACUCUAAAUCUGUGCUUGGAAACACUUUUAGUUUAUGGUCUUGAUUCUUGGUUUGCUUUUAAGAAAUAGUACAAAAUCUUAGUGAAUCCUAAUUUUUAUUAAGGUGGAAAACUUGGAGUGUGGGCAGACAAUUUAGACUAAGAAAUGGUGAUAGAAUAAUACUCAAUUCUAAAAUAAUUCAGUUCUGAACUUUUAAAAAAAACAGUGCUAUGUUACACAAGAUGCUAAUGACUAAAGUGACAAAUAUUUCAGAAGCCGGACAGACGUGAACCUUAAAUGAGCAGAUGGGAUAUGAAACUAAAGGCGGGAGAUAAUCCAAGAAGAUAACAGAGGCUAUUACGAGAAAUGAAUUGGAGGAAAAAAAGCAAAGUUAGGAGCAACUAUAAUGGAGAAACAGAGGGAAAGAUGGAAGAUGUAAGAAAAGUUGACAAUUGAUGAAACAAGCCUGGCUGGAGAUGGUACCGGGAACCCCGGUGAUGGGGUUAGAGUUGGAAAAGAGUAAGUUAAGACACGUCUUAGAAGUAAAAAGUGUGAGAAUACAAGAAAUAAAUAGAAAUAAAUUUUAAGGAAGUGGGGCCAGUCUCAGUUUAGUUUGAGUACUUUUUAAAUUCAGAGAUUAAAGGUACUGAGCUUGACCCUGAAUAAAUGAAAUUAAUUUUCCUGUUUGAAUUGUGUCUAAAAAUUUACAUUUUAUUUCAUGAUUUCUUUAUUUUGCGUUAGUAGAUUAUGACAAGAGCGGUUUUUGAGCUAGUCAUACCAGAAUUGAUACACAUCUGACCAGACGAGAAGUAUUCUUCAAAGUAAGCUUCCUUGAAAUGGAUCAGAUGUUGCCCUUGCUCAUAACAUUUUUUGGUCCUUUUCCUAUAACAUUUUUUUUAGAGACAGUUUAGUCAGCCACCCCAGAAAAUCUUAAAGGAUACUGUCUUCUUUUCUCUUUGUAAUUUAUUAUCUUCUGCUUUUUGCUGUCUGUUGCUGCCUAAGCCCACGGUUGAGUAGCUUUGAUAGGGGUGGGGGUGAGCAAUGCGGAGUUACUGUAUGAGCAGAAGAGCCUGGAAGAGCUCCGCUCUCGCCCCCUGCCUGUUGUGGACGCAUGCUGAGGGUUCCAGCCCUGCCUUCUCCGCUUCUGAGCCUAGUGUCCAGUGUACUCUGUUGUCGUACAGUGGCAGUGAAGGUGGAUUUAGUGGUCCAUUGAUUGGUAAGACUAGAUGUUGGGACACAGUAGGUGGGAGUGGCAUUUUUACUUUCUGACAUCUCACACAUGUUCUUUCAGCAAUUUCUUCCACAGUUGAAGGAGAUGAAGACAAGAGCAAUUUUGUAUAUUUAGGAUUUUACUUUAGAGUUAUUAUUGUUAAGCACUGUUGAGUCAAUUUCGACUCAUAGUAGCCCCAUGUGACAGUAGAGCUGCCCCAUAGGGUUUUCUAGGCAGUGAUCUUUACGAAAGUAAGUCACUGGGUCAUUCUCCUGCAGAGCUGUGGGGUGGAUUUGAACUGCCAACCUUUGAGUUAGCAGCUCUGUGUUUACUCGUUGUGCCACCAGGGCUCCUGUUUACUUUAUGGUAAUCUGCUGUAAUAGUCGGUGUAGGAGGUGCGGAGGAUGUGUUUUAUCUAAUAUCAGGAAUGCCUGUAUUAGUUGUUUAUAUUAUGAGUUGCAGUGGCCAACACAGUUUUCUGUUUUUGAAUUCAAGAAUGUAAUGAGAUUUUUGAACAUUUUCUCAGUCAGCUUUGCUAUCUCUGGGCUUCAAAUUCCUUCGAUGGUUCUAUUUUUAAUUCUCUUUUUCUUUUUUAGUGUUUUUACAUUAAUCAAAGGAAUGGAGAUUUAUAAAAAUAUGUUGUUUCACAGCUGCAGAUAUUUUAGGAAAAUUUAGUUGUGUAAUAAUUCUAAAUAAAUAAAAACAAAUAACUUUUUAAUUUUCAGAUUUAUGGAACACCUGACCAGUUUAACAUUUAGAAUUUAUACCAGAGCAUAAAUCUGCAUUUCAGCUACUGAAGAGCAUAAAUAUUUACUUUCUGAAACAGAAGUUCUUAACUAAAGUUUAAGUUACUAAAAACAUACAUUUUUCAAAGUAUAUUAUUUUACAUACAAAGUGCGACGAUCUGCAUGGGUUGAAUCGAGUGUCAUGAUCCCAAGUAGAUCAAAUUCAUUAGUUGUCUCUAAAUUACUAGAGAGAUGUAUGAAACUGGUAUUUUGUUGCUAUUUGGUGUUACGGGUUGAAAUUGAGCUUUGCAACCCAGACAGAUGGUGCUAUUCUUGAGUCUGUUUGCAAGAUCCUAUAACAUUUAAUUAAACAGUGGUGUGAUUCUCAUGAGAACCCGUAUUUUGGUAUGUGUAAGCCAAUACACUGGUUUCUUUAGUAAAUUUGAUUUGAAAUAGAUGUAUUUACCUAUUCUAAAGAAAAUUAUCUAAUGAACCUGUUAAGAUGAAUAGCUUGUGUAGUAAGUUACACAGUAAACUUCAGAAAUUUUCCAGAUGAAAAAUGAGCGAGACUCGCUAAGAUAGGCAUUUAUCUUUUAAAGCAACUUUGAUGUAGUUGCCAAACUUCGUUGUAUGGUAGCUGUGGUACCCUGUUAAGAACCCAAACAGCUGACUUCAGCAGUUCCCAGAAAGCAGUGAGGAAUUUGGCAAUAUAUAUAUUUUAGAAAAUAGUCAUUGAUUUAGAUUCCUUCUUAUCUACUUACAUUUUAAUUUGGGGAUUGAGGAAUAGAAAUAUUUUUUAAUAGCCUAGUCCAGUUUUGAUGUGUUAUGUGGACAUAACUUAUUUAGCUGUAUCGUAAAAGUUUGAGUUUGGUGGUAGUAUUGCAUUGUCGAGAUGAAUACGUUUAUCAGCUACAUAAAUAGUACAUUAAUAGGUCAUGAAAUAAAAUUUCUAGAAAUGGUUAGAAAAUAUUCUCUUUUAUUAAAUUUAUUUAGCUUUUACUUAAUGCUUACUGUAGUUUUCUAAAUGGCAGACAAGACUGAAAGGUGACUUGAUGCCAGAUUGGAUGACAAGAAGGAGCCGGAAUUGUAUUCUGUGUGCAGAGGGGAAUGCCUGAAGGGCUUUAAGGAGGAUAAUGACAUGAUCAGAUUUAUGCUGUAGAAAGAGACUGCUGUGGCUCUGUGGAGUAUAGAUUGCAGUAGGGGAGAAACCAAAGGCAGGGGGAAGGCGCAAGUUAAUUAUGGACAGAGGCUGUAGGCAAAAGGCAGGGAAGAGUGCAAAGACAGUAAAAAUAAACACUAGGCUGUAUAACCUGCCUAUUUCCAGAAAAGCUUUGAGGCAAUGGGAAGAAGUAGAGAAUAAGAUUUCUUAGAGAAAGGGGUUGGGGGUGGGGGGAGAAGGUGGAGAUAGAAUGGAGAAGACAAGACCUUUGUCAGGUGGUGGGUGGUGAUGGUGAAUCAGAAUAUUUUGGCAGGGAAAGAGCUCAUGAAAUUUUGGUUGUGAGAAAUGGGCAUGGAAAAACCCUGGUAGGAAAAAAGAAGAUAGAGGCACCUCGAAAGAAAGGCUUGGGGAUCUACUUCCAAAAAAUCAGCCUUUCAAAACCAUAUGGAGCACACUUCUACUCUGACACACAUGGGGUCCCCAUGAGUGGGAGUUAACCUGAUGGCAGCUGGUCAGCUCUAACAGCAGUUGGUUCUCUCUUUACCAGCCUUUUGUUACACAGAGCCUUUGGUUUUUUUUUUUUUUAAAUUGUGCUUUAAGUGAAAGUUUACAAAUCAAGUCGGACUCAUACAAAAAUUUAUAAACACGUAGCUAUAUAUUUCUAAUUGCUCUCCCCCUAAUGAGACAGCACACUCCUUCCCUCCUCAGAGCCUUUGGUUUUAAUAGCAAUGGGUUUUUUUAUGGGUAAGCCCAGAAAGCUGAUUAAAACUUUUUCUCUGCAAAUCUGCAUUGGGAAGUUUUUUAGUUUUUUAUUGAAAGGUUUUGUUUGUAUUAACUUUAAAUCAAUGAUAUUUUGGGUGGGAAAAGGAAAUAGACUUUACCCCAUGUUUCCCUUCAUGUCUUCGUGCAAAUGGCCGAUUUUGGGGAGCCAGUGAAACGGUACAGGGAGCAUUUGGAAGGACCACCAGACAUCAUUGGUGCCUCUUCCUCAUUAUGAUUUUAGGCUCCUUUUAAUUUUUAUUUCUGUCAUUCUUUAUUCCUUCAGCACUUAGUUUCCCUCCCUACCUCAUUUCCAGUCCCCGCCCCCAUUUAACCCCUUCUUUUUUUUUUUUUUUUAAAAAAAAAAAACAAACAAAUUGCUAGGCUCCCGGCUCUCUGGAGUCUUCCUUGCCCCUUCUGCACUUUUACUUGGCAGCGUCAGUUCUCAGUUAAGUGCUAAAAUGUACAUAUGCACUUCAGAACCUUUUGAUGUAAUCUCCUUGGUGUGGUGGGGAACCUCUCCAGUUGUUUUGAGUGCACUUACUGGCACAGCGUGCACUACCCAUUGUCGAUUGGCUGUAAUUCAUUCAGACUUCCCGUGUGGGUAGAUUUUUCACUUGGCUAACUAGAAGGUAGAGAAUUGGCCUUCCUGCAGUUGUCGUUUUUCUUUAAUUUCUCUCCAAGUGAGGUAGAACUAAUGAAAUACAAGUACUUCCAAGUACUAAAACUCCCAAGAAAUUAAAGCUUUAAAAAAGUUGCGCAUGAACCACCCACUCAUUAGAUCAGAUGUUACCUCUAACUCUUCUUAUCACUGUGCAUUUGUCUAUCUGUACAUAGGUGUAAUCACAGUGUACAUAUAAUUCUUUAUUCGACUGUCCUAACAUAUUUUCCAUGUGGUUACAUUUUCGUCAUUAUACUUCUAAUGAAAAAGUCUAAUUUCUUUUAUAAAUUUAAUAAAAGUUGUGUAAUUAGUCUCAGAUUCGACCAGUAUGGGAGUAUCUAUCAUAAAACAUGAGGGUUCCCCUCCCCCUACGGGAAAGAAAGUACUAGUAGUUUAAUUUGUAUCAUUCCAGGUUUUUCUUCUUGGUGUUGCAUAGAUGUCUGUGUGCCUGUUCACAAAUGCAGUUUAAAAAUUAUUUGUGUUAAGUCUUGAAUGGAGAAAAAUAGCACGUACAAAUCAUACCCAAGGUAGAAAGAAUCGUGAUGGAAGGAAUACCCAUGUACCUAAUACCCACCAUAAGAAAAAGAAAAUAUCAUUUAUGAAGCCCAGUCUAUGCCCUUCCUCAUCCCAUUCUUUUUCCUCUCUCUGGAGAGACAACUCUUAUCCUGAAUUUUAUUUUUAUCAUUUCCUAAUUUUUUUUUUUAGUAAAUCGUGUGGUUGUAAUACUGAACAAUGUAUUUAGUUUUGUGAGUGGCUUUUAAGUUUUUAUAAAAGGAAUCGUACUAUAUUCUUUUGUGACUUGUUUUCUUAGUUUAAUAUUAUAUUCCAACAAUAUUAUGUGCUGUUGUAAUUAUGGGCAGGACUAUGUAAUGGACAGUUGUAAUCCAGUUACACCAGUUGGUUUAUGCAUUCUUUCGAUGGUGGACAUACCUGUAGUUUCAAAAUUAGAGACAGGUGAUAAUUCUCCACUUUUUCUUGCAACGUGCUUUUCCCACGUGACAUGGUCUUAAAACAUUUCCCAGCAGUGAGCUUAGAUAUACUGCAUCCAUUCUAACUAUGUUUCCAGCAUUUGCAUCCUGUUCGUAGGAUGGAUGUAGUAUUGCUUGUUUAACUAUCACCCAUGAGGAACAUGAAGAUUGUUUUUUACUUACUUUUUUGGUAUAAUAGGCAGUUACGCAUUAGUUACAUACUUGUGCACAUAUGUCAGUACUUCUGCAGGAUAGAUUCCUAGAAGUAAAAUUGCUUGUUUGUGAAUUAAAAUUUUGAUAAUUAUUAAUCCUGAGCAAAAAACCCCAAUAUUUUCAACCUUUUAAUUUCUCGUAAAAUUAUGAGCAUCUUUUCAUAAAACGUAUGGGUAUAUGUGUAUUUCUUCUGUGAGCCUGUUUAUUUUUCAAAAGUGUUUUAUCUCCAAAAAUCUUUCUUUUUUAAAUUUCUGACCACUCAUUAAAGGAAUCUGUAGUUCAGGUCAAAGUAGAUGUCCUUUGCAUGCCAUGCUCAUUCUUACCUCAGAGCUAUUUCCGAGUGCUUACUGCAUACCUGGCACCGCUUCACUGCUUGCUAGGUCCAUGCAGAUGCUCGUUUUAUGCUCACAAGAUCCUGAUGGGGAAGAUACUACUAUUUACAUUUUUCAGAUAGGAAAAAUAAAGCAAGAAUUUUAAGUAACUUGCCCGAGUUAAUACAGCCAGCAAGUGAUGGACUUGAAUUUUGAGCCUUAGUCCUUCUGACUUGAGAGCCUAACUCUUAACCAGUACAGUAUAUUGUAUGCUCUUCCUUUUUCUACUGAAAUUCUUUUCGGACCACAGUAAAGCUCCUCCUAGCUAUUCCAAACAUUAUUGGUCUUUCUUUUCUAAGCCGUUUAAAAAUUAACAGUGUAGACCAUAUCAUUUAGGACAAGCACGAAGGUAGGAAUCACCGGUGCAUAUAGAUUUACCUGAGAUUAAUGGAGUGAUAAUACAGUUUACAUUUUUUAAAAGUUUCCUCAGAGAUUAAUGGAGUAGUAAUACAGCUUAUUUCUUCCCACAGAUGGGGAGGUUUUUUUUUUUUUCUUAGACUACUUUAUUCCAAAUUGAAGAAUCAUUUGCAAAGUGAAAAAUUAGGAUAGUUUAAUGUUUUGAUCGAUGGCAAAAGCAAGGUGAAACCCUAAGCAAUUGCAUAAUCUCAGAAUUAAAAAUCAUCACCUGGCUAAAAAUUUUUGUUUUUUAAAAAUAGCCAGUUACUAAAAUGUUUAUAUUAAAAAUGAUUUAUUUUUAGUGAGUGACAUAAUCGUAUACUUAAUAAGAAAGAGACAAAUAGCUUAACCAUGAUGGAUAUUAAUUUGUUUUUUUAUAUUUAAGAAGCCUGGAGAGAAGCAAUUGAAAACUAGUUUGGCUACUCAUCAGUUAUAAAGGGCCCCAGGCUUUUCCUAGCUUAUUACUCCAACAUCCUUAGUUUAUCACUAAGCAUAUCCUACAUAUUUUGGUAUAUUGUGUUUUCGUCAUUAGUUCAAAAUAUUUUCUGAUUUCCCUUGUGAUUUCUUCUUUGUCCCACGAGUUAUUUAGAAGUAUUGCCUGAUUUCUGGGUUUUGUAGAAAUGGAAGAGAGUUCUAGAUAACUUUGAUAAUUUCUAAUUUAAUUCUGUUCAGAGAUGGCAGUUUUUGAAAAUUUAUGAUAGCUGUCUUAUGACCCAUCAUAUGGUUUUUUUGGUGACUCUUCCAUGUGUAUUUGGAAAAAAAAAUGUGUAUUCUCCUGUUGUUGGGAUGUAUUGUUUUAUAAAUGUCAGUUUGAUUAUGUAGGUUGAUAGCAUUGUUCAUGUUUUCUGUUUCCUUACUGAUCUUCUGUUUACUUAUUCUAUCACUUACUGAGAGGAGGUGUGCUGAAAUAUUUAGUUAUAACUCUGGAUUUGUCUACCUCUCAGAUACGUCAGUUUUUCCUUAAUGUGUUUUGAAGCUCUGUUACUAGUUGCCUACGUGUUUGGGAUUUUUAUGUCUUCCGGUGGCUGUAACAAUGAACUCAAACAUAGCAAUGAUUGUGAGGAUGGUGCAGGACUGGGUAAUGCUUUGUUGUGUUAUACAUAAGGUUGCUAUGAGUUGGCACUGACUCUGUGGCACCUAACAGCAAUAGUAACAACAACAUGUCUUCCUGAAGAAUUGACAUUUUUAUCAUUAUAAAAUUUCUCUCUUUAUUCUUAGUAAUCGUCCUUUUCUUGGAGUCAACUUUGGUAUUAGUAUAGCCACUUCCAUUUUCUUAUGAUUAGUAUUUGCUUAAUCUAUUAUUUUCUACCAUUUUACUUUUAACUUAUCUGUGUUUAUAAUUUAAGUAUAUUGCUUGUAAGCAGCAUGUAGUUGAGCCUUGCUUUUUUAUCCAUUGUGAUAAUCUCUGCCUUUUAGUUGUAAGAUUGAGACUGUUUAUAUUUAAUGUGAUUGUAUUGAAAUGGUUAGUUUUUAAGUCUGCUAAUCUUGGUUUUUUUCCUAUCUAGCCUGUGUGUUCUUUUUUCUGUCUUUUUUCGCUCCUUUUUCUGCUUGAUUUUGAACUAUCUGAGUAUUUUUUAUGAUUCCAUCUUAUCUCCACUAUUGGCUUAUUGGCACAGUGAUUAAGGGUUUGGCUGCUGACCAAAAAGGUCAGCAGUUUAAAUCCCCCAGCCACUCCUUGGAAAUCCUAUGGGACAAUUCUAGUCUGCCCUAGAGGGUCACUGUGAGUUGGAAUCGACUCAGCAGCAAUGGGUUUGGUUUUUUUGGCUCGUUGGCUUUUUAGCAAUGCCUCUUUGUUUUACUUUUUAGUGAUUGAUGAAGUGUUUACAGUAUACACCUUUAACUUACCUCAGUCUAUCUUCAAAUGACAUAAACUCCUUCAUUUAUAAUGUAAAAACCUUAGAACAGUAUACUUCUGUUUGCUCCUUCUAUCCUUUGUGCUUUUGUUGUCAUACAUUUUUCUUCGGUAUCUCGUCUACAGUCCACAAUGCAUUGUUAUGAUUUUUGAUUUGAAUAGUUAGCUUUUAAAGAUACUUAAAAAUGAGAACAGAAGUCUUUUAUAUUUAUUCACAUAUUAACUAUUUCUGGUAUUCAUUAUUCUUUUGUAUAGAUCCAGGUUUCUAUCUGGUAUCAUUUCUUUUGCACUCAAAGAACUUAAAAUAUAUAUAUAUAUAUAUAUGUGUGUGUACAUUUUUUGUCAUUAUUGAUAAAACUUUAUUUACAAAAAUAGGUGGCCAGCUCACUGACUAACCCCUGAGCUAGUUGACCGAGAUAAAAAUGAUGUUAGAAUUAUAAAAUCUUAAUGUUGGAAGGAAUCCUUGCGACUCACGUUUGAGGUUUGGAAGGAACGUCAUAAAUCAUGUUGUCCGACUAUCUGAUGUUUGGAGCUGCUCUGCAAUAUCCUCGUCUAGUGUUAACAGUUUUUCCUUAACCCCUUAUUAUCUAUGAUCGCAUCUCAGGCAGUGAUAUUUUCUUGAGGGAGCUCUCAGUGUUGUUGUUGUUUUACUCAUGAGUUUUUUCAUGCGGUUCUGUUGCUUCACUUGGGAGUGUUCUGAGCAAAUUUAAUCCAUCUUCCACAUAUCAAUCAGUCUUUUGUCUAAUUGAAGACUUUUUAGAUUCCUUUAAAAUCUUCUUAAGCACACGUUAAAUUCAUGCAGUUGUUUCUUUUGUCACAUGAUUUUAAUGUUUUUAUUGUCACAUUUAUUUGUUUGAAAGGAUUGAACAUGUGGCCACAUAGUGUCUAGCCAUGUAGCAAAAGUUUAGAUUUCCUCACUACCCUAGUCGUUUAUCUGUUAAUUUGUUCCACUUUAUCUAGAUCUCUUUCAAAGUAUGGAAUUAGGCGCUGAAAGCAACGUUGAUUAGUGGCUUGAUAUGUAAGACCUGUUGUGUUGAAUCUAGAAAAAAAAAAAAUUUUUUUUUUUUUCUAAGAUUGCUGUGUUUUCAUUAAUGUAGAUUAAGAUGGCAAUAACUUUUUUGGUAGCUACUUCACAUUUUUUAAUUGUGUUAAACUACUGUCAAAUAGUACCCCUGAGCCCUUUUCACUCAUAAUACUUGUGCUAAGCCAGCUCUGCCUUUUUUAUCUUUAUAUUUGAAAAAGCAUUAUGGCUCAACAAAAAUCUAUUGUAUGUUAGGAAGCAUCUUUUGUUUAGAACUUCUCGUUAUGGAAAGAUAUCACAUUGCAUUUCUCUCAACAUGGAAUACCAGCCAAAUGGAAGGCUCGAGGUCCUGUUGUCAACAGCGCCUCCACAAUGGGGAUCCCUGGCUGGCAGCAUAGCUAUGGCUAGGGAGAGUUUGAGCAGAGCCAGAUGGGAGGGGGCAUACAGCUAGAAAUAUGUCUCUGCCCAGCUGGAGUUUUAAUAGUCUAAAAAUUGUGAAAAGAAACAGACAACAGUAACAUACUAUUUUAACACAUGGUAAGCAACCUUUUGGCUUUUGGAGCACAGGUUAUGGGAUGUUUCUGUCCUAAGUUUCAGAGUUUGUCUAGAUUAAGUGUCUAAAAUGGUAUAUGUGAGUUUUAGUAGUAACUGUAAGUUUGCAUUAAAUAUAUUUUGCUUCCACAUUCUGAUUAUUUUUGUUUUAAAAUUUUAUUUUCCAUCCUUAUUUUUAUCAGAGUUCUACUCAUAGGUAGUUAGACUAAGAUAGUUCUGUAAGGCUUAUAGUGUGUCACCCCCCUGCUUCACCUCUCCAGAGGUAAACACUUUCACCUCCAUUAGCUGAUUAUUAUUUUGGUUUUUACUUAAGUGCUUCUAAAUAUUAAGCUUAUAGUUACUUUUAGGCUUUUCAGUUCUAGACCUUUCACUGUUGAAGAUGAGGAUUUAUUUCUUCUUAUCCUUGCCUUCUACAAAGCAAACACACCCUUUCUGCUUCUCCAUCUUACCUUUCUGGGGCUAAGAGGGAGAGGGUGGAGAGGGAUGGUUUUUGGCAUUCAGCCUGUGCAUGUUCACCUAAUCCCUCGUUUUCGCUCUGCUUCCUCGUCCUCAGUUGUGCCUGUGUCCGCCACUCUAGACACCUUCUGUCUUAUCCAGACACCCUGUUUUAUUGUCACCAGAGAAUACACUUCCAAUUACCUGCUGAGGUGAAGGAGGGUGCUGGCUCAGCUAUGUGGAAUGGGGAGCGUACCUGGGGAGUGUAUCUGAGUGCUUCUUAAACAGGCUUUCAGCCAUUUUUCCUUCUUUUAUCUCCUCUCUUCCUUUCAAGCCUACUUCCAAAGCUACCUGUAUCUAUAACUCCUGAGGCCAAGGAGAUUUCGUGAAAUUGGGUUGUUUCUUAGCUUUCCCCAUGGCUAGUCUAGGACUUAGUUUUCUUAGUAAGUCUCUUUACCUUUUGAGGCCCUGCUGCUUAGCUUUCAAAAUUUUGCAGCUUUUAUCUCCUCUCCUGUUAUACCUAUCAUUGCAAUUUUAUGAUUUAAGGAAAAAGCAAAACAAAGAAACCUCUUUACUGAGUUUUCACGGGAUUUAAGAUAGAGCAAAAGCAGAUGUGCAUGUUUACUCUGCUGUCUUUACCUGGGGCUGAUUAGUCAUGUUUUAACAGACCUUUUCUAUUAUAUGUGACUUCUUAUCCUUUCUAUAACUUGAGUUGAAAAGUUACUUAGUAUGUUUACUGUAUUUCCCUCAUCUAUUACAGUAGUGGAAACCCUGUGGCGUAGUGGUUAAGUGCUACAGAUGCUAACCAAAAGGCUGGCAGUUUGAAUCCACCAGGCGCUCCUUGGAAACUCUACGGGGCAGUUCUACUCUGUCCUAUAGGGUCGCUAUGACUCAACGGCAGUGGGUUUGGUUUUUUUUUUUUGGAUUAGAUUAGUAACCCUAUCACAGGAGAAAGUGAGUGUAGGCACACUUGGAAUUUCUUAGUACACUCAUGUUGGCUCCAGAUAAUCACAGCUGUCUUUUCUAUACACCAUUCUAGAAUCUUGCCCAGGAUUAACAUUAAGCCAAUUUUUGUGGUUUGAGGAAUCUUUCUCUCAACAACUCUUGAAAAUUUGAAUGUCUUCUGGUAGCUUUUCUAUUAUUGCUGAUUAUUCUAAGACAUCUAAUAAGGGUUCAGUCUCAUUUACAAGUUGCUUUUGUGAGUGGAAUGUAAUUAGUCUAGGCCUGGAAUCUUGAACUCAUUUAUAGCACCUAGGUCAACCAUAAGGAGCCUUGGUGGCACAGUAGUUAAGUGUUUGGCUGCCAACUGAAAAGUCAGCAGCUUGAACCCACAGCCUGGUCCAUAAGGACUGGAAACCCUAUGGGGCAGUUCUGCAGCUCACUAUGAGUUGGAGUCGUCUUGAUGGCAAUGGGUUUUUUUUUGGCCUAAGUCAGCCAUAUCACUUUACAGGUCAUGAAGGUGAGGUGCUCUGAGGUGGAGUAGUUUUCUGAUAUCGUGUAGGUAGGUAGUUGAAGAACCAGGACUAGAACCUAGAUCUCCUUAUCCCCAGCCAGUGUUCUUUAAUACAGUAUUCGUGAUACUAUACCAUGAGUUCAUUCUUAUCAAGCCCUGUUAGUUUUACUCUGUUCUGUGACCACUGAAUACCAUUUUAACUCUGGGGAGUGAUAAUGCAAGUAUAUGCUGUUGGUCAUGAGGGAAUUGGUUGCAAUGGGUCAGUGCAAAUUCUCUUUCUACUUGGAGAAUUUAUCAGCUUAUUCCCUACAUACUGUACAUAAACAGUAGAAUCGAUGUAAGUUUUAUUUAAAUCACAUUCAUGCUAUUAAAAACCAGAAACCAAACACGUUGCUGUCGAGUCAGUUCUGACUCAUUCAUGCUGUUAGGAAGUGGAUUUAUCUUGGUUCAGUUUCCUUGGAACCUUAACUAGCUACGCAGCAGACUCCAGCCAUGGCUGAGAAAGUUUCCCCCAGCCUUUCUUGCUGUUAGAAGAGUUAAUGUCUUGGUUUGUUAUACAUAUACUCUAAGAAUCAGCUUGUGUAGGUACAGCCUUAUAGUGAUAAUACGUAAAAGGAGGCAUAUAAUUAAUAAAAAGUCUCUUCUAUUCAUGGGAUGAUGUGUGGACAUUCUUAUUCUAGUUUUCUUAAUACCUCAGGAAGACUAAAGAAAGAGUCAUGAACUGUCUUAAAUUAGAAAGUAUGGCCAUGAGCUCUAGUCAUUGCUAAAUUGAGUUGAUGACAGUUUCUUUGUACUAUUUUAUAAUAGUACAAAGCCCUGUGAAGCUGCAUGGCAGAGUGGAAAGAAUUUAUGCCUUAAAUCCAGUUACAUUUGAGAUCUGCAUUUGCUAGCUAUGUGGCUUUGGGAGAAUUAUUUAACCUUUCUGAGUUCUAAUUUCUUUAGCUAUGAAGAGACUAGUAUGGUAUCUGCUAUUUGUAGGUGCUUAUUAAUAAAUGGUGAUGUGGCGGUUAUUAUUAUACAUAUGUGCAUACUGGUUUUGUUCCUUAUACAUUUUAACUUUGUUUUUUGAAUCUCUGUUUUCAAAACUAUGUAAUUUAAAGCUUAAAUACGUAGUAAAACUUGUGAAAGCCAGAACCUGUGUAAGGCAGAAACCUGUCAGAGAGGAAAACUAAAAUCUUUUCCAUUAAAUAGAGAGCAAAAGGAAAGUGGUGACUGUCCCCUGUCAAAGGUGGAAAACUUGUGAGAUGUGGAAAAACAAGGCAGCCCUGUUGGGUUCUGACUUUCACAGGUUUCACUGUUAUUAUGGAUUAUUCGUCUUUUUGAAUUUUUAUCUAGAAAUAUUUUGAACGUUUGCCUCAUGAUAUUGAAAUCAUUAAAUAAAGAAGUUGAGGCUUAGUGAUAUUAAUACAUCUGUCAGAAAUUGGAUCAACAGGACUUGGAAUUGAAUUGAUUUUUAACCAUAAACAUGGUUUGGUAUAUGAGGACGUGUUUUAAUCUAAUUGAAUAUGCUUCCAUGAUAGGACUUUUCUUUCUUGGACAAACCAUUUCAGUAUCACCAAGUCGUCUUUCCUCUUAUCAAACAUUAUUUCAAAAUUUAAAGCGAAGUCUUCGAACAUCCAUUUUAUACUUAGUUAUCUCUGUUAGGCUUGAAUGCUGUUUCGUUGUUACAUUUUCCAGUAAAGACUAGUAUAAUGAUACUUAGUUUUAGCUUUAAAAGCAAAGGAACUAAAUUGUUUUAAAAUAAUUGGACAUUUUUCAGUUCUUUUGGCUGAAUUAGUUAUGAAGUGAUUAAAUUUGAAGCCUUGCUGUUAUGUCACUUGCAUUUGCAUUCUAUCACUUGCUAGAACAAUUCCAUAAAGAACGCAGAGCAGGUGGCAGUGGCUUCCCUUUACCACUGAGAGCAUGGAAGCACUGAUAGGAAGUUAGUGGAAGUGCUAGGAUUAGGAAACCAUUCGCUUGAAUCAAAGCCAAAUAUUCUGUCUGCUGAACCAUGCCGGAUGUUACAGGUGAAAGUGUUCUAGUCAGUAAAUUGCUGUUCUAGGAUUUUCUUGGGGACUGCCUCACCUGAUGUUUAAGUGUCUGAUGCGUCUUAAUUUUUAUAUUCUGCAGUAUGCUUAAUCUCAGUAUUAGUGAUUCAUAUUUAUUGGUGUAUUUUCUUCCCCUUCCUCUCCUUCCUUCCCCUAACUGCCAAGAUCCUUAGGCACAGAACACUACCUUUCCCUUAGGUGAUAAUAAGAAAAGUUAGGUUUUUAAUUAGCUUUUCUGAUUUUAACUGCCCGUUUUUAUUUAGUUUCCUUCUUUGACAUAUGUUUAAAAAUUGUUGUUAGGCUUUCUGAGUAAAACACACACACUGCUCUUAUUUGAAGUAACGCUACAAAGCAACUUGUGUAAUAGAAAAGUGGACGAAGGAUAUCAGCAGACGGUGACAAAGAAGUAGGACUACUACCCCUACUACUUGUUAUGAUAAUAAUAAUGUUCCUAGUUUUUGCCAUGGGCCAGGUACUGUCCUGAGUGCUUUACAUAUAUGCUAACUCAUGUUAUCAACAACCAUAUAAAUUAAGUACUAUUACCUUCAUUAUGCAGGUGAGACAACUGAGGGACAGAGGUUAAGCAACUUGUGAGGUUUUUACUACUUACAGCUAGUGAGUAUAGAGCUGAGAUUCCAACCCAGGAAGACUGGCCCCAGAUUAUUCCCUUAAGCAGAACAAGGACUAUAAAUUAGUACACGGACACGCCAAUCUGCUGUAUUGGCAGGUAUUUUCUCCCUGGGAGAAAGAUGUAGCAGUCUGCUUCCUUAAAGAUUUACAGCCUUGGAAACCCUGUGGCGUAGUUCUACUCUGUCCUAGCCAGGAUCGACUUGAUGGCAGUUGGGUUUGGUUUGGUUUUUGGUUGUAUAUACUCUAAAGACAUAAAGAACACACAGUAGGAUGCUAGUUAUUAUUUCUGGAAAAUAACUUUCUGAUAUGAUUUUUUUUUUAAAUUUAUAUUAUUUACUUUUAUAACCUGAGGAAACCAAGUGCCAUAAAGGGGAAGCCUAAAUGAUGCCGUACCAGCUUUUACUAAGAAUAUUCAUUGAAGAUUAAGAUUUCCAUUUUUCACUGUAGAGGAUAAGUUACUGAAUUCCGGACAGUUGUAGUUUGGAUAUUAUUAUUUUUGUAACAAUUUUUUUUGAAGUGAAGCCUUUUUUCUUUGACUUGAGGAAAAGUGAUAUUUUUCUUAAAUGGAUUCAUUGUAGUGAUUCAUUGUUUUAGUACUUUAAAUUGAUUUCAGUUAUGUUAGUAGGAGAUAUGGUUAUUUUUCCACCCAGUGGUACUUGUUCUUUGAAAAACGGCUUGUUGACAAAAAUGAUUGACUUGGUGGGGGAGGAGAUGAAUGAGUAAGAAUUGAAUGCAAGGGAAACGUAAGCUGUUUGGGUCAAAAUUAUAUUAUGAAUCAGCUUUACUAUCAGUUUUGAACACAGUAAUAGUUUAUAGCUGCUUAACUAAGGAAUUCGGCUUUCAUUUGUUUUGAAACAUCUUUGAAGUUUAGUUCCUUAAACCUAAGAUUUAAGGAAUUUUAAAAUACAAAAUGUAUGUAAUGGAAUAAAGAUACAGGUUCCUGCUCUCUGCCUGUUGAAAGUUUCCAUGUUUUAAAAUGUGCUUAAAAAACAAAAAAAUUACAUGAGAGAAUUGAAGCACCAUGUUACUGUUUGUUAAAUGCUCCCCUGAUUAAAAAUGAUUUAAAAUGUAGCUUCUGGGUAAGAAGAAAUUGGGGAAAUCCUUUGAAAGAAAUUAUUUCCCUUCAGCUCUACAGGCUUAUUUUUUUAAAUGCUUACUUGAUUUCUAAAUAUAAUUUAUGAUUCAAAUAAGGAAUCGUAGUAGUUUACAUAUAGUGACUUUAUAGAAAAUAAAUAAAAUGGUUGAGAAUAGGAAAUAAUGAUUAUUUGCUUGUUUUCUUUUGGUGUGUAAUAUAAAGUGCCAUGUAGAAGUCUGGAUAGGAAGAAGUUAACUUUUUCCCUCUUAACAAUCUAGAGGAUUGACAUAUAUUCUUCACUGGGAGAAAUCUUAUGGUAUGAAGUUUAGUGUGAAUGUUUGCUUUAACAGAUUGGCUUCUUUUGGUAUAAAAGCCUUUCUGUAGAGUUAUGUAAUUGGAAAUGAAAUUCAGAACGAUUCAAUUUUCCUGUCCUUUU